UCUUCUUUUUUAGUUUCUCAUCUUCUUCUUCUUCUUCUUCUUCUUCAUGUAAAUGAAAGUCAUUAUAGAUAAACUUGCACUGAGGCCAGUUUGAACUCUGUUUAACGUACUUUCAUUUAUUCAGCGCUCAGUUUUCCACAUUAAAGGUCAGAAUGUUAAGUGAGUUAUAUUUAGCAUGUUCAGGUCUCUCUCUCUCUGUCUCUCUGUCUGUGUGUGUGUGUGUGUGUGUGUGUGUGAGAGUGAGUGUGUAUGAGUGUGUGUGAGUGUGCGCACAGCACAGACUUUCUGAGUGGGACCUUUAUACACUGACCUCCAUGGACACGUAUUCAGUCCAUUUACAACGCAACUAAAUGUGCUGUGGAGUCAGAAAAAAGGGAGUAAAAGGGUGUUUGACGUAGGUGGAUUUCAGAAGAAUCUUAUCUUCAUUAGAAACAGACCAGGUGUCUCUCACGCUUCCUCAACUGGCGCAAAGAGGGAAUGAACGUCUGCCUCCAAGAUCUGCCUCCGUCAGUGGAAAAGGAGAGGACGAUUCCCACUCAGAGACAUGCAAUACAUGACGUGAAGCUGCUCUGGGCUCGCAGUGCUUUAUUUAGCGUGUUUACGUGUGUGUACACGUGUGGAUGCUCACAGUGCCACAGCUUGGAUCCUGAAAUACUCAACUCACUUUCAGUGACUAAAAUAAGUGAGAGAGGAAGAAAAAAUAGAUCUAAUCCCCAAACACGCCGGCGCUUGACUCGGCACAGGUGUCGUCUUGUUCCUGUAAAGAAAACUGUUCCUCGGGCUGAUUGACGCUGUUUUUGUUAGGAGACAUGACCCAGUUGCUUGACGCAGCGCUACAGGGCUCAGUGACUCGUGUGAAUCUGCUGCAGCAGACGAACUGGUAAAACUCGACCCACACACAGAAUAAUAACCAGCGGCCGUCGCUUCCCACGUUCUCCAGGCCUUUUGGGGAAAGCUUCUGUCUCAGUUUCCUCUCAGUAAAUGGAUUUAUCAGAAAAAAUACCACACACCUCCCUGUUAGCUUUCAGUAUAUCAUGUGAUUUAGCGUUAAACAGAAAGAGUGUAAUGAAUCGUUGAUGUGUAGCUGGAGGGAGAUCAGCUAACACACACACAUACACGUUUGUGUUACUAUGUGAGGAGCUUCCACUGAUGUAAUAAUUAAUGCAGCUAAUUAAGCUUAAACUCAGUGACUAAAAGUCAAUGUUUUGGCCCUUUUAAUUUUUAAUAGAAAAGCUGCAGUUUUUGUAAAAAAUAGUUUUCCUUGUGGGGACCAACAAAAUGUCAUGCUCCUGUCCUUGUGGGGAACACAUGCGUAUAUAUAUAUAUAUAUACAUACACACACACACACACACACUCGCUCUCUCACUCACUACCAUCUUUAGUAACCCUGUAUCACCACAACCCACAAAGACACAAACACACACACACAUAUACACUGUAUGUGCAGCGGAUUCUUUGUAAUGCAGUACCACAGCAGUGUUUACAGUUAUUUAUGAUCUUAUUCUAACACUUAGACACAGAGAUCUGCAGUGUGACACUGAUACAGCUGAGGUGUUCACACACACACACACACACACACACACACACACACACACACAACACACAUUCAUGAUGUGUGCUAAGCAGUGGUGAAUAAAUGCUCUCAUGUGGCUGUUUUGGAAAUGAUCUGAUGGUGCGGUGAUAAAGAAUUCACUCUGGAGAGUCUUGAGGUUUUCUGACGUGGCUUUUCUCGUCUGUGAGACUUUCUUUUUUAAAUAUCAUUACUGAUCUUUCAACUAAAUCAAACUCAUCUCUUUUUUAUCAUCAUAGGAUUAUUUGUAGCCUGUAUGUUUAAAUUUGCUGACACUUUCAGACUCUCUAAUCUACCUGAAGUGUGUGUUAUAGGUGUGUGUUAAAGGUGUGUGUUAAAGGUGUCGAUUGCUGGAUUGCAUUAGCACUGGUACCUGAUAAUACACUCCGGUCCCUCGGGACUUCUCUAAACAUGUCAGGACACUUCUGUACACCACUCGUGGUCACACACACAACAUGAUAACAUGAUUUGGAGUAUUCCUUUUUCUUUUUAAAUCACAUACAUUCUUAUAUGAAAUACAUACAAUCUUAGGAAAAAGAAAAAAAAGCAAAAAAAAAUCUUACCAAGUGAAGAUCAUCUAAUAUUUCUCAUUAUGAAAUUAUUACAUAACAAAUAUAAGAGCAUUAAACCUGUUUCUAGGCAGAUUUACUAAAUUCAAGCUUGAAAUUGUCCCUUCUUCUAUUGACAGACAAGUUUGCUUCUGUCUAGAAAUAUACACCUGAAAUUAGCUAAAUUUUCUGCCAACAAGGCUGGAAGACAAUUUCAACCUUAUACUGAGUUCAAAUAUCUAGAAACAGGUUAAAUAAUCUUGCAUUUGUUUAAGAACGAUCUAAUAAAGAGGAAUAUUAGUUUACGUUACAUAUACGUAAGAUAAUUUAAAAAAAUAUUCAGAUAUUUUAAGAUAUCUUUUUUUUGUAAAGAUUGGGCCACGCCUCCUUAAUUGUUUAUGAUGCGCACCAAAGCAAAAUCCUAAGCAGAUGUAGCAUCGGAGUCAGAGAAAGGGAUCGAUGCAGAAUGGGACAGUGUCGUCUUUGUCUUCGUCCCUCUCCCUUACACUCCCUCCAUCGGGCUUUUGUGGUCGUACGAAAACCUAACCGUCUCCUGGAGCUUCUCCAUUUCCUGCCGCACGCUCUGUAAAACAGCUGGACGUUUUUCUGGUCCUCAUUAAAGACAGAUGAGAGAGACAGUUUGAAAACCUCUUUCAUGUGACACACACACACACACACACACGUACACACACAUUGCCUCAUUAUAUGCAAAAGUGUUAUAAUGAUUUUUUUUAAAUUCCACCUAUAGCUAUAAACUAUUGUUUGAGUUGUUCCUGAUGUUCAGCAUCUCACUUCGGACGCCUCUGGUCUUUAGAAGGACGCUGUCUCCUCUCAGCGGACGAGCUCAUAACUUUGGCGACUCUUCUGAUGUGUCCCCAAUCAUAAAUCAGCCUUUAAAUUAGACGAGGCUUCAGACUUUAGGAUUAAGCUAACGCUCCAGAUGAAAAAGACGUGUUGUUAGUGGAGACAGGAAGCGGCGCUCUCAUUUGACCUCCGACCUCACGGACGUGACCCAGGACUCCGGUCUCAGUCGUUGGCAUGUUGCGGGUCAGUGAGGACUCACUGCAUGUACACAUGCCUGCGUGUGUGUGUGUGUGUGUGUGUUGCAGUAAAAGGGAACAGUGUGUGCCUAUCUGUGUAUCUGGAUAGCCUUUGUGAAGAAGUUUUCCAUCCGAUUUGCUUUGAAACAAAUCCGCAGCAUUACAGUAGGUUAAUCUCAGCGGUUGUCCGGUUCCUGCUGUCUGUAAUUGAUUUAAAGAGCAGGUUGUGUUUUCUGACGUUUCCCUCAGGUGCUCGGCGGCUCCGUACAAGCCCACAGCUUGUUAGCACCUGACACAGAGUCGCACAGAGGUUUAAUCUUCAGUCUCACCUGGGAAACACAUUUUAGUGUGCUUUCACAUACGCCAUGUUUAGUGCGUUUGAAUAAAACCCUGGUGUGUUCUCCUCCUUGGGGUGGUUCUUUAGGUGAGAACACAGCAAUCACACUCGGGUCCGAGAGCGAGGUGAGACAACACGAGACACACACAGGCUGGUUAUAUUCACCGUUCUGAUUCAAUCACAUGUUUUGAUCAAAUGAAGAGAAUGACCAGGAUGUUUUUCCAGUAUUAUCUCAAAUAUAAUCACAUCUUAACUGAAUAAAUACAUCACACUAUUUUUUUUUUCCAAUUGAGUUUCUGGAAAUGGGAAGAGGUUGAGAUUGUGUAAGCAUUAGAAAUAGAUGGAGACUUAACUCCAGAGCUGUGGAGGAUAAGCUGUGGAGGGAGCAGGCCAUUUAAUGAUGAUCUAAGAGUGCUCGUCAGAUUUUAGGGAAUUUGCGAGAUGUUUAUCUGCUGAAUACAAACGGGUAAACUCUCCUGAUCUACCUGAUCAGUCAUUAACAACAUGUGCUCUGCUUUUGAUAAAAAUGUCCUGACUAAAAGAAACUUUCCAAAAUGCUGAUUGUAUCUUUAAUCUGUCGGCUUGUAAUUUGUCUCUAUUUGCAGAGCAAUAAACAAAGGAGAUUGGUGAAGCAUCUGGACCAUUUUCUGGGCUACAUCAGAAUCCAGAGCUAACACACACACAAACACACACAGACACACAGACACACACACGCAUACACACAUGGACCAGAAGCAAGCCACAGUAAACCCAGUAAUCAGUGUUUAGGAAUGUUUGUCAGCUAGAAAUAGACAGGAGAGAGUUGUAAUCUGGAGGCCAGAUGCAGAUUCAUUCCUGUCUUUUUCAUUUUCAUAUCUUUCCCAAUGUGACAUAAAGAUUCUAUAAUAACUCACAAUUUUCACUGCUUUGUUCAGAUUAGAUGUAGAAUCAAAAGAGUCAAAGCAAAACUUCUCUUCAGACAAUUUUUAUGUCAAUUUUUAAUGUUUUAGGUUGAUGCAAUUUAGCUUUAGAGUUACAAAAGAGGUAGGUUUUCCUCUGUUCACAAAGAAAUUAUGGGGGAGUGCACAAACUUUUGCACUUAAAGAUACAUGUGGACAUUCAAAAUUCACUGAUUAUUUAUAAUGUGGACUGCAUACUGUGACCACAAGGACGACAUGAACCUAAUUACACUGUAUUAUGUAUAUAAUUGAAAAUAAGUUCAGACCAAAAAUGGAGCCCUGGGAUCUAUAAGCUAGGAAAGUCACAGUGAAACUACUUUUCAAAUAUUUUAUGUAGAUUUUUAUAAAUUUAUGUAGAUUUCAGAGGCUUCUAUCACCAACUUUUGGACACUUUUCUGGCCACAAGCUUCAGGAUCUCGAAGUUUGCAUUCUUUAUUCUUUAUAUGGACAAUUUAAAGGCACACUGCAAGUAGAAAUCAGACAAAACUGUCAGGAACAUCAACAUUUGCCUCAAACAUGUUGGUAAAUUAUUAAGAAAACAUGUCAACUAAUUAAUUUAAUUUCACAUUGACUACAAAUUUCAGUGGGUUGUAGCAUGUUGAGAAACAUCAGUAUGAAGUCACAGCUUAUAAACUCUGAGAGAUUUUUACUUCCAUCACAAAUACAGAAGUGUAAUCUUCUACUAAACGUGGUGAACAGGCCUUUGCGUGCAUAGCAGCAUAAGUUGGAGAUUUUGUGUGUGUGUGUGUGUGUGUGAAAGCUUCCUCUUCCUCACAGUAGAUUAGUUAUGUUCUAGAUAAAUUUAGAGUUAUGAGAAGUAGAUUUCUCUUUUUAAGCCGAAAACCAUGGGAGUGGACAAACUUUUUGCACUUAAUUAUACAUGUAGACUUUAGAAAGUCACUCAUUAUUUAUAAGUUGGGCUUCUUAUUAUGACCACAGGAACAACAUUAACCUAAAUAUCAAUGUAUAUACAGUAUAUUACGCAUAAUCAAAAUGAGAUCAGACCUAAAAAUAUCAAACCAAGAUAUCGUUUGAAGGCAAAUUUUGACAACAAAUUUUACACAGCUGUACUGAGAACACUUCACAAGC